GUCAAGAAUCAACGCAGACCAGGCUAAGUACAAAGAAAAACUACUUUCGGCCCCAGCUGGCUGUGAAAAAAUAUAGACAUAGUCAAACCAAAGGCAAUACAAGUUACAGUGCUGAGAUUACAUUUGCAAAGCUUAACUGUCCAAUGAGAUCCAACAGUCUGCCUUUGUGACCCUGGAGCCGGCGUGGUUUGGGGACACUGAAGAAACCACAUGCAGCCGGCCUGGACUGGAAUCACUGAAAAGACGCCCCAGGAGACCCCAGGGCAUAAAAGAACUGCCCUCCCAAGAGAGGAAGCAAGGUGGAGAUUGCACAGCGCCUUCUCUGAAUGUUAUACACAGAUGUGGCCAGUCUGGACGUACGUGUCUAGGUGGACCCGACAUUUCAGUGACAGUUUCUGGCGACUCCGCCGGGACUCUCCUAGCUCAGACAUUGGACUCUGGACGGCUGUGGCAAACUGGGAAUGGCAACAACGGGGUGUUUCGCCCCUUUUCUCUGCUUCACCGCAGCCCCUGGGGUUCGUGCUCCGAUAAGGUGUGUGGACGGAACUGAGCCUCUCAUUCGUAAUUCCUCAGACUGAAAGCCAUCACGUGCGAUGAAGCUCUGAGGUCGAAUUGGGAUCCUUCUGUCCCGUCCCCUGUAGCGGUCAGUAUUAGUAGAAAUAGGAUCCUAUUAGGCCAUAAUUCCCUCUGUUCUCUGAGUAAUUCUUUGUUAGAGUGUCAGCAGGCAGAUGGGUGGGUCUCUGGUAAAACCCUCUGAGGAUAGCCCUUUGGAUUAUAGGUUAAGUAAAUGGCCUUUACUCGGUGUUCAAAAAAGAAAUAGUUACCUUGUGUAGAAAUUGAUGUGGCUAGUGUUGUGGAAAUUGAAUUGUGGAGAGGAUGUGCAUUUUCCCCAGAACAUGUGCAGUGUAUAUUGUAGCAGAGGUAAACCAAAUGCAAACCUACCAAUAUACGUUGUGUUGUCUUUUUCAGAUCACUGGGUGUUUGAAAGCAGGAGUUAGAAGUAAAAGACAAUCAAAAGUCUGGGAAAGUUAAUUGUGUCCCUUUUUAAGUAAGAAUCUUUAAGCUGUGGAUAGCUUUGGAUCUGGAAGCAAGCCAGAAAGCAUCUGUAUUAAUGCAAUUUUCUAACUACUAAGGUAGAAGCCACUGAAACCCGGGCUGCCUAUGAAACAAAUACAAGGAACUAUGGGGUAAUUCCUCUGUUUUGCCUAAAAUCAACAAGAGUAUGUGUAUAUAAAGGAAAUAUUUUAAGCAAUGACUGACUACCCAGAAGGGGUAGACCUCUGUUCUUUUGUCUUUCAGAUCAUCAAAAAAAAACAGAUGCCAGCUGAAUAGCAUUCAACGUACCAUGCAUUUACUGGCACAACAGGAAUUAUUUUUGUGUUCUAUGGCCAAAAUUGUUGUUAAAAUUUGCAUAUCAACAGUCUUUGGAAGCAAGGACAUGGAAGGUUAACCUACUCCCCAUGUUGCCCAUGGAAUCCUUCUGGCUACAUCAGAUUUCUAGCCAGAGGGCUGGGGAGGGAGGAAAGCUAUUGGACACCAGAGGUUGUAUCGAGUGGACUCCUCAAAGGUGGCUGUGCUUGUCCUGGUUUGUUGCUCCAAAGCUCUGUAAUAAAGUUAUUUUGCUGGAAGGGUGUACA
ensembl:lncRNA